CCUACGGGCGGCAGCAGUGAGGAAUAUUGGUCAAUGGACGAGAGUCUGAACCAGCCAAGUAGCGUGAAGGAUGACGGCCCUAUGGGUUGUAAACUUCUUUUAUAAAGGAAUAAAACGAGGCACGUGUGCCUUUUUGCAUGUACGUUAUGAAUAAGGAGCGGCUAACUCCGUGCCAGCAGCCGCGGUAAUACGGAGGAUCCGAGCGUUAUCCGGAUUUAUGGGGUUUAAAGGGAGCGUAGAUGGGUUGGUAAGUCAGUUGUGCAAGUUUGCGGCUCAACCGUAAAAUUGCACUUGAUACUGGCAGUCUUGCGUACAGUUGAGGUCGGCGGCAUUCGUGGUGUAGCGGU
rnacentral:rRNA from 1 species